UAAGGAAGAGUAAGGUGAGAAAACGAGACAUAAAUAGAGAUGAAGUUCAAGGAUAAUGCAGAAUAGAUCGUCGUUAGCUGGGGAAGGUGACAACGAAGCAAACAGAGAUAAAAUAUAACCGGGGGCUUUUAGACUG